CUGUCACGUUAGCUUCGCGGCUGUGGCGUUAAAAUCUGUUUCCCCUGUGUGUUCAGUUUCCUGUCGCCUGAAAUCAACGCUAGCUAAACGCUCCAUCGGUUAUUACACGGUGUUCUAGCACGACUGGUUAUCCCGGGUUACGUGGAGUCGAGAUAAACAUGACGGGUCAAGCUGCUGCUGUUACGGUAAAACUCGGCCAGUGUGUUGACCACAACAACCACCACAACAACAACAACACAUCUGCACAAACAGCUGCAGAAUGGCGGCUCCGUAAACAGACUAUCACCGCAGCGUGUACGUCAGGGACACACCUGAGGCGGAAGCGCAAAUUCUGUGCGAGCCGCCGCCUGACCGUUCACACAGGGAGCCAUCCAGGAGGAGGUUUUAGAUGCUGGCUUGCCUGUCCAAGGAGCCACGGGUGGUGACAUCAGCAAAUGUCCCUACUAUGCUGCCAAAAUGACGGUCUCGAGUGGAACGGCAUAUGCCGGUCAACUCGCCAUGGCCGUACUCCGACACCCAGCGGGACAGGCUCUGGUUGUGACUUGGAUUGCUGCUCAGGCUAGAAUCGCUGCAUGGUAUCUGAUGUGAUCCCACCUCCGGCCUGUCAUUCUGCUGCUGAGAGAGGGAGAGGGAGGAGAAACAUUGAGGGAAGGCGAAUAAGGAGAUUGAGACCAUUUCAUAGUUUAAUACAAACAUUCUUUAGGGGUCCAAGCUAAUUCAAUAUUGCACAUUGCAAAAGAGGGACGUUGACAGGAAAUACACUUGGUUUUAUUGGACUAUUAGCUCAUCAACUCAUCCAUCUCUCAUGCUCUGCCUUCAUGUGUUGUUUCUCCGCUUCCUUUGGACUAUCCCUCCG